AUACGUAGGGGGCGAGCGUUGUCCGGAAUGAUUGGGCGUAAAGGGCGCGUAGGCGGCCUGUUAAGUCUGGAGUGAAAGUCCUGUUUUCAAGAUGGGAAUUGCUUUGGAUACUGAUGGGCUUGAGUGCAGGAGAUGUUAUCGGAAUUCCCGGUGUAGCGGUGAAAUGCGUAGAGAUCGGGAGGAACACCAGUGGCGAAGGCGGGUAACUGGACUGCAACUGACGCUGAGGCGCGAAAGUGUGGGGAGCAAACAGGAUUAGAUACCCUGGUAGUCCACACUGUAAACGAUGAAUGCUAGGUGUAAGAGGUAUCGACCCCUUUUGUGCCGGAGUUAACACAAUAAGCAUUCCGCCUGGGGAGUACGGCCGCAAGGUUGAAACUCAAAGGAAUUGGCGGGG
rnacentral:rRNA from 1 species